CUGGGAGGACCAUCUCCUAAGGCUAAAUACUCUCUAGUGACCGAUAGUGAACCAGUACCGUGAGGGAAAGGUGAAAAGCACCCCGGAAGGGGAGUGAAAUAGAACCUGAAACCGUGUGCUUACAAGUAGUCAGAGCCCGUUAAUGGGUGAUGGCGUGCCUUUUGUAGAAUGAACCGGCGAGUUACGAUUUGAUGCAAGGUUAAGCAGUAAAUGUGGAGCCGUAGCGAAAGCGAGUCUGAAUAGGGCGUUUAGUAUUUGGUCGUAGACCCGAAACCAGGUGAUCUACCCUUGGUCAGGUUGAAGUUCAGGUAACACUGAAUGGAGGACCGAACCGACUUACGUUGAAAAGUGAGCGGAUGAACUGAGGGUAGCGGAGAAAUUCCAAUCGAACCUGGAGAUAGCUGGUUCUCUCCGAAAUAGCUUUAGGGCUAGCCUCAAGUGAUGAUUAUUGGAGGUAGAGCACUGUUUGGACGAGGGGCCCCUCUCGGGUUACCGAAUUCAGACAAACUCCGAAUGCCAAUUAAUUUAACUUGGGAGUCAGAACAUGGGUGAUAAGGUCCGUGUUCGAAAGGGAAACAGCCCAGACCACCAGCUAAGGUCCCAAAAUAUAUGUUAAGUGGAAAAGGAUGUGGCGUUGCCCAGACAACUAGGAUGUUGGCUUAGAAGCAGCCAUCAUUUAAAGAGUGCGUAAUAGCUCACUAGUCGAGU
rnacentral:rRNA from 1 species